ACGAGAGUUUUACUUCUUCGUUACCUAUUUGGAUUCCUUUUAUUUCUUUUUCCUGCCGAAUUGCUCUGGCCAGCACCUCCAGUACUAUGUUGAAUAGGAGUGGUGAAAGUGGGCACCCUUGUCUUGUUCCUGUCCUCAGAGGGAUGGCUUUCAGCUUUUGUCCAUUGAGUAUGAUGUUGGCUGUGGGUCUAUCAUAUAUGGCCUUUAUUAUGUUGAGGUUUUUGAUUACCGUUUCUAUUUCCUUACUUGUGAUUGGUCUAUUCAGAUUCUCCAUUUCUUCCUGAUUCAGUUUGGGGAGAUUGUAGGAGUCUAGGAAUUUGUCCAUUUCUUCCAGGUUGUUCAAUUUGUUGGCAUAUAGUUUUUCAUAGUAUUCUCUUAUGAUCUCUUGUAUUUCAUUGGUAUCUGUUGUGAUUUCUCCUCUGUCAUUCCUGAUUUUAUUAAUUUGCGAUUUCUCUCUUCUUUUCUUGGUGAGUCUGGCUAGGGGUUUGUCAAUUUUGUUAAUUCUUUCGAAGAACCAACUCUUUGUUUCAUUGAUCCUUUCUAUUGUCUUUUUUGUUUCAAUAUCGUUUAUUUCUGCUCUUAUUUUUAUUAUUUCCCUCCUUCUACUGACUCUGGGCUUUGUUUGUUCUUCUUUUUCUAGUUCUGUUAGGUGUUGUUUGAGGUUGCUUACGUGAGCUUUUUCUUGUUUACUGAGGUGAGCCUGUAUUGCGAUGAAUUUCCCUCUUAGGACUGCUUUUGCUGCAUCCCAAAUGAUUUGGUAUGUCGUGUUCUCAUUUUCAUUUGUCUCCAGAUAAUAUUUGAUUUCUUCUUUAAUUUCUUCAAUGAUCCAUUGUUUGUUGAGAAGCAUGUUGUUUACUCUCCACAUUUUUGCACCUUUCUCUGCUUUUUUCUUGUAGUUGAUUUCUAGUUUAAUAGCGUUAUGAUCAGAAAAGAUGCUUGAUAUUAUUUCAACUCUCUUGUAUUUAUUGAUGUUUGCUUUGGUUCCCAAAAUAUGGUCAAUCCUUGAGAAUGUUCCAUGUGCACUUGAGAAGAAUGUGUAACCUGCUGUUUUUGGAUGAAGUGUUCUAUAUAUAUCUAUUAAGUCCAUCUGGUCUAAUUUUUCAUUUAAUUCUAUUAUUUCCUUGUUGAUUUUCUGUCUGGAUGUUCUGUCCAUUGGUGUUAAUGGUGUGUUGAGGUCCCCUACUAUUAUUGUAUUGUUUUUGAUGCCUUCUUUUAGUUCUAUUAAGAGUUGCUUUACAAAUUUUGGUGCUCCUGUGUUGGGUGCGUAUAUAUUUAUAAGUGUUAUGUCUUCUUGGUGGAGAGUCCCUUUUAUCAUUAUAUACUGUCCCUCUUUAUCUUUCUUUAUCUGUUUUGCUUUGAAAUCUACCUUGUCUGAUGUUAGUAUAGCGACACCUGCUUUCUUUUGUUCAUUAUUAGCUUGGAGUAUUGUUCUCCAUCCCUUCACUCUGAGUCUGUGUUUGUCUUUGGGGCUGAGGUGUGUUUCCUGGAGGCAGCAUAUUGUUGGAUCUUGUUCUUUGAUCCAUCCUGCCACUCUGUGUCUUUUGAUUGGGGAGUUCAAUCCAUUUACAUUUAGAGUGAUUAUUGAGACGUGGGGGCCUACCACUACCAUUUUGUGUCUUGUUUUCCGUUUUUCUUCAGUUUUCUUUGUUUCUCGUCCCAUGGUUUAAUCUGUUCUGAUGUAGAGCUGCUACUCUCUGUUGUUGACCUUCUACUUAUCUCCUCUGCUCUUGGUUUUGUAGCCCCUUUCCUUUUUUGGAAUUUUCAGGAAUGAGGGUUUUCCUGAGGAUUUCCUGAAGAGGAGGUUUUGUGGCAAUGAACUCCCUUAAUUUUUGUUUAUCUGGGAAAGUUUUUAUUUCUCCAUCGUAUUUGAAGGAUAUUUUCACUGGGUAGAGAAUUCUCGGCUGUAGAUUUUUGUCCUUCAGAUUUUUGAAUAUAUCAUUCCACUCUCUUCUAGCCUGUAAAGUUUCUGCUGAGAAAUCUGCUGAUAGCCUGAUGGGGGUUCCUUUGUAGGUUAGUUUCUUUUGCCUGGCUGUCCUUAAUAUUUUCUCCUUGUCGUUGACUUUUGCUAGCUUCACUACUAUAUGCCGUGGAGUUGGUCUUCUUGCAUUGAUAAAGUUUGGAGAUCUAUUGGCUUCUGUCACCUGAAGAUCCAUCUACCUCACCAGAUUUGGGAAGUUCUCAGCCAUUAUUUCUUUGAAUAGGUUUUCUGCCCCUUUCUCCUUCUCUUCUCCCUCUGGUAUACCUAUAAUCCUUACGUUGCAUCUCCUAAUUGUGUCUGAUAAUUCUCAGAGAG
rnacentral:lncRNA from 1 species